CUUCCGGUUCUUUUUCGGGUGUCGCCAGGGAAAAGAUCGCCAGCUAGAGAUUGCCAUCCGCGUUGAAUAAUCACGCAAGAAUGCCUUUUCACCACACAUACGUAUGUAUAUAUAAAGGAAGGCAAUUAAACGCUACAGUUGAACUCCAGGGUCUUCAUUUGUGGUUUAGCUCGGUGUCACCACGGUCCCUGUGGAAAAUACUACAGUCGUCAUACAACCUUGAUCGCAUCUCCAGGUGAUCUGUGAGGGAUAUUUCACAGGACGUGAUUCUUGAUGCAACAACGUGGCAGCGAGCCCCGAAUGGAAGCCCCCCUCCUGUUGUGGCAUGAGUUAUUUCUUAAAUUCAAGGAAGGUGGCGUUGUGCGGCGUCUCCCUGCCACGGCGUGUCUUUGGGAACAGUUACGUCAGCAAGGAAGAGGGGUGUGGAGGUGGGCUGAACACGGUCUGACUACAGGAAGCAACCUUGAAUGAUUAGGAAAGAUACUGUACAUAGCACCUGCAUGUAAAAAAUGGAAUCUCCGGCAUUAAAGCAUCCUCAAGCUUGAAUAUAUUGCUGAUGCUAAUUUGUUUAUCCAGGAAAUCUCCGUGACCUUGUACUGAACGGUGUUAUGGGGACAGCGUUACAUAAAUACAAAACUUUUGCUUGUUAAUCAGCCAAAGUGAAAAAGAUCCGCUUUUGCUCCCACCAUGAUGUCCAAUUAAGAGCUGUUUUUUGCUACAGGUGCCUGCUGCUGCAGCCACCACUUUUAUCUGCGCAGACAGCAGGACGCCGGUUCAAAACAAAAACACGGAUCAUGGACAAAGCACCCCGGGAGACGGCCUUUAAGAAAAAAAAAGUUACAUUUUGCAAAGAGAUGCUUGCUUAAUCAUUGUGGGCAAAUACUUUUGAAAAAAAAAGGGAGAGAGACAUUCAAUUUGGCAUUAUAGCGAGCGUCAAUGCAUUUCUGCAGAGUAAAUAAAGGGAAGAUUAGAAGGCAGUAAUCUAGACACAAAUCAUCUCAGCCCUUCCUGUCAUAUCGCAACACAGCAUGCUCGCCUUCCUUGGCUUUAAUGAAG